CAGUCGCCGCGGGAAUACGUAGGUGGCAAGCGUUGUCCGGAAUUAUUGGGCGUAAAGGGCUCGCAGGCGGUUUCUUAAGUCUGAUGUGAAAGCCCCCGACUCAACCGGGGAGGGUCAUUGGAAACUGGGAAACUUGAGUGCAGAAGAGGAGAGUGGAAUUCCACGUGUAGCGGUGAAAUGCGUAGAGAUGCGGAGGAACACCAGUGGCGAAGGCGACUCUCUGGUCUGUAACUGACGCUGAGGAGCGAAAGCGUGGGGAGCGAACAGGAUUAGAUACCCCCGUAGUCCCUGUCUCUUAUAC
rnacentral:rRNA from 1 species